CCCUUAGAUGUUCUGGGCCGCACGCGCGCUACACUGAACAGUUCAACAAGUCUUAACCUUGGCCGAUAGGUCUGGGUAAUCUUUGAACGCUGUUCGUGAUUGGGAUAGACCUUUGCAAUUAUGGGUCUUCAACGAGGAAUUCCUAGUAAACGCAAGUCAUCAGCUUGCAUUGAUUACGUCCCUGCCCUUUGUACACACCGCCCGUCGCACCUACCGAUUGAAUGGUCCGGUGAAAUCUCGGGACGGCGGCUUGGUCGCUUGCGUCCGACUGCUGAAACUUGAUUAAACCAUAUCAUUUAGAGGAAGGCGAAGUCGUAACA
rnacentral:rRNA from 1 species